rnacentral:rRNA from 1 species
CAGGGAUUGCCCUAGUAACGGCGAGUGAAGCGGCAACAGCUCAAAUUUGAAAUCUGGCUCUUUCAGGGUCCGAGUUGUAAUUUGCAGAGGGCGCUUUGGCGUUGGCAGCGGUCCAAGUUCCUUGGAACAGGACGUCACAGAGGGUGAGAAUCCCGUACGUGGUCGCUGGCCUUCGCCGUGUAAAGCCCCUUCGACGAGUCGAGUUGUUUGGGAAUGCAGCUCUAAAUGGGAGGUAAAUUUCUUCUAAAGCUAAAUACUGGCCAGAGACCGAUAGCGCACAAGUAGAGUGAUCGAAAGAUGAAAAGCACUUUGGAAAGAGAGUCAAAUAGCACGUGAAAUUGUUGAAAGGGAAGCGCUUGCAGCCAGACUUGCCUGUAGUUGCUCAUCCGGGCUUCUGCCCGGUGCACUCUUCUAUAGGCAGGCCAGCAUCAGUUUGGGCGGUUGGAUAAAGGUCUCUGUCAUGUACCUCUCUUCGGGGAGGCCUUAUAGGGGAGACGACAUGCAACCAGCCUGGACUGAGGUCCGCGCAUUUUGCUAGGAUGCUGGCGUAAUGGCUGUAAGCGGCCCGUCUUGAAACACGGACCAAGGAGUCUAACAUCUAUGCGAGUGUUUGGGUGUCAAGCCCGAACGCGUAAUGAAAGUGAACGGAGGUGGGAACCCUUUAGGGCGCACCAUCGACCGAUCCUGAUGUCUUCGGAAGGAUUUGAGUAAGAGCAUGGCUGUUGGGACCCGAAAGAUGGUGAACUAUGCUUGAAUAGGGUGAAGCCAGAGGAAACUCUGGUGGAGGCUCGCAGCGGUUCUGACGUGCAAAUCGAUCGUCAAAUUUGGGCAUAGGGGCGAAAGACUAAUCGA